rnacentral:piRNA from 1 species
UGCAGAGGCGGCCAACUGUAAAGGGGA